CCCAGGCAAUCCAUCCCCUCUGUGCUGCUUUGGCUAAUAAGGAAGUAUUAGCCUGAGCAGCAAUGGACAGCUGUGAUUGGCUGAGAGUGUCAGCUGACUGCUUUUAGCCUGUCAGAGUUCCAACUGACGGUAUGAGUGGGUAUGACAACAAGGAAGUGUGUAAUCUCUGCCUUAGCUACACAUACUGAAGGGGCCGGACUGUGGGUGGCCAGGGACUCUUAUUUUGUGGCAUACUGCACGAACAUGGUGCAACACUGAAUGGAGGGGCAGUGCCAGGGUACUCCAGGCACUAUAACCAAUUCAAAGAGAUGAAAUGCUUA